UUUCACAGCCAUAUCAUGUUGAAAACACCUAUUCUCAUCCAAUCACUGAGAUUAUGCAACAUCAAGCCUAGUUAGUAUUUAGAUGGAUUACUGCUUGUGAGACCCAAGUAUUGUAAGCA
rnacentral:rRNA from 1 species